AACUUUUAGCAACGGAUCUCUUGGCUCUCGCAUCGAUGAAGAACACAGCGAAAUGUGAUAAGUAAUGUGAAUUGCAGAAUUAAGUGAAUCAUCGAAUCUUUGAACGCACCUUGCACACUUUGGUAUUCCAAAGGGUAUGCUCGUUUUAGUGUCAUUGUACUCUCAUACUCUCUGAUCUUAUGAUUGGGAUUGGUGGACUUGGGUGUUGCUGCGUCACUGUGGCUCAACUGAAAUGUAUUAGCGCAACUGUCGACUAACAAUAAUAUUGCAUGAUUAUCAUCUUUGCCAGCACCUCUCCGGAGGGUGGUCAGUCAAGAGCUCUGUGCUUCUAACAGGGUUUGGACAAUGUUGACAACUUCACCUCAAAUAGAGUAGGACUACCCGCUGAACUUUAGCAUAUCAAUAAGCAGAUGCU
rnacentral:misc_RNA from 1 species